rnacentral:lncRNA from 1 species
GGUGGUCGCUUCAAAGAACGCCCAGAUCGGCCGGCAUGGUCUCUGUUCGACGAGCCGGGCGUCAAGAAGCAGACGAUAGGUCGGCGGGACCGCUGGGAGCUGCAGGUGAACGUGUCGUGCCCGGGAGUGCAGCUCAGUUGGCGUUUCCAGACGGCCGCGGGAGACGUGGCCUUCGGAUUGCGCAUGUGCGAUGGAGAAUCUCUGCUGCCCCUCCGACGCAUCGACGCAAGCGGUCAGAUUCCACAGGAAGGCAGCUGGCACUGCGCGCGGGCCGGAACAUACGUGCUCCAGUUCGACAACUCCUACAGCUGGAUGACGGACAAGAAGCUGGCCUACGUCGUCAAAGUGCAGACGUCGGAUGAGAGCCAUGUGCCUUAGGAUGUACCAAAUAAAUACAUUUGUUUUGU